GGUAGUAUAUAAAACAGCGGUAAGCAUCCAGCAUCUCUCCAUUGCGGUAGUGCAGUUGUUACAGUUGCUUGCGAUUAAGCAAAAGUGAAUUAUCAUAUCUACGCUCUGAUACAACUUAUCGUUUUGCAAAGGAUAUUCACUUGAUGCUACCGUAGAUCCUGUACUAUAAUGGAUACCAAAUAGAUCGAAGGAAAUUGAUUAAUAUCAUUAUAAAAUUAUGACCGAAGUUUCAGGAGAUCCAAUUAAAAUGAAGUUAAUUAUUCUGCUGUUACUGCUAGUCAGUUCUGUUGUUUGUGUACCCUGGCUCGACCUGUGGUUUCCUCAGCAGUUUUCGUAUAGCAAUCGAAAUACCGGAUAUUAUGCAAACAUACCAUCGUAUCGUCAAAAUAGAGGAGGUGGCAAAGAGCGCUGGAAGCAGAUCUGCAGGACUAUAAACCCGGAUGCAUAUGCAUUCCCAGGACGCGUGCCUUAUCCCGCUGCACCUGCCUGUCCCUGGUAAGGGAAACUCACAGUUAUAUUUCCGAUCUGUUGUGCCAAAUAAACGCAAGCGAAAACGUAUAUCGUGCGUUAAAAAUAUAAAUUUAUUGUAACAAUGUAGUUUUAGACAGUGUAUGUCCACCGGUUACGAGUAUUUCAGUCAAUAUGGUUACGUGUACGUAAUGUGUCCGUAUUUGACAAUACUAGCAAACUAGUAUACAUAAAUAUUUGUGAUUACAUAUAACUACGUACUGUAAAGUAUUACGAAUUGAGGAGAUAAA